rnacentral:rRNA from 1 species
CAAUAGCGUAUAUUAAAGUUGUUGCGGUAAAAAGCUCGUAGUUGGAUUUCUGUUGAGAGCGACCGGUCCAUACCAUAUAUGCGUAUCUGGCUUGCUCUCGGCAUCCUCUCGAUAGACGUUACUGCGCUUGAUUGCGUGGUGCGGAUCUCGGGACUUUUACUUUGAGGAAAUUAGAGUGUUCACGGCAGGCUUUCGCCAGAAUACAUUAGCAUGGAAUAAUACUAUAGGAUCUUGGUUCAAUUUUGUUGGUUUCUAGAAUUGAGAUGAUGAUUAAUAGGGACAAUUGGGGGCAUUCGUAUCAACACGUCAGAGGUGGAAUUCUUGGAUUGUGUUGCGACGAACUACUGCGAAAGCAUUUGCCAAGGAUGUUUUCAUUGA